rnacentral:rRNA from 1 species
UACGUAGGGACCAAGCGUUGUUCGGAUUUACUGGGCGUAAAGGGCGCGUAGGCGGCAAUUCAAGUCAUCUGUGAAAUCUCCGGGCUUAACUCGGAAUGGUCAGGUGAUACUGCUUUGCUAGAGUGCAGAAGGGGCAAUCGGGAAUUCUUGGUGUAGCGGUGAAAAUGCGUAGAUAUCAAGAGGAACACCUGAGGUGAAGACGGGUUGCUGGGCUGACACUGACGCUGAGGCGCGAAAGCUAGGGGAGCAAACGGG